rnacentral:rRNA from 1 species
UGCAUCUGGGUAAGACUACCCGCUGAACUUAAGCAUAUCAUUAAGCGGAGGAAAAGAAACUAAACAGGAUUCCCUUAGUAACGGCGAGCGAACCGGGAGUAGCCCAACCGUGCAUCAGACAUCCUCGAUACUAGAGGCCUUCGAGGAUGCUGGGCUGUAGGGUAGGCGUGACUCUGCCAUUAUUACGAGACCAUCCGCACUAGGCGUGAAGUUAGUGGUUGGAAGUCCCCGCCAGAGAGGGUGAUAGCCCCGUAACCCUAGGUGUCGUUGCGAGAGGGUGGGGGGUGCGAGUCACGGCGUGAUUGGAGUCGCUCCCCGCCCUUCUUCUCAUCUGGCGCAGAGUCGCGGUGGAGUAGGGUUGCUUGAGAGUGCAGCCUGAAGGAGGUGGUAGAUCCCAUCUAAGGCUAAAUAUUUACAAGAGACCGAUAGCGAACAAGUACCGCGAGGGAAAGAUGAAACAGUACCCCGGGGAGGGGAUUGAAAAGUGCCUGAAAUCACCAGGGUGGAAGCAUUAGGGGGUGUAGGAAGAAGGGGGGUGAUGCCAAUUAGAGCUCAUCAAGGCCCCUUCCUGGCGGCGAGUCCGGUGACCAUGAGGGUCGGGCACCCAACCCUUUUCGAUUCGAGGAGGGGGGUGCAUCGUCGAGCCCUAGAUUUGCAUCCGUGCUCGACUAACUCGAGAUAAGGAUCAUAGAGGCUUAUAUAAGGGCUCUGAUCAAUCCAUCGCACAGGUUUACGCCCCUUAAUGACCCGUCUUGUAACACGGACCAAGGAGUCUAACACCUGAGCGAGUCAAUGUGCGGUCUAGCCACAUAGGCGGAAGAAACCUGAGAGGUUCCUCGAGGAUGGGUUAGCCAUGACCGUAGCGUUCAUCGGAGGGGGUUACCUCGCAAGGAAUCCCUACCCGGUGAAUCGGUUACAGUGUCGCUCCGGCACCCGGGGAACAACCGAUCAUGGAGAGACAGGCUUGCCUGGAAUGAUUCGGUCUAAGCUCAGUUGUUAGGACCCGAAAGGUGGUGAUCUAUGCCUGAGCAGGGUGAAGCCGGGGGAAACUCCGGUGGAGGCCCGUAGGAUUGCUGACGUGCAAAUCGCUUCUCUGACUUGGGUAUAGUGGCGAAAGACCAAUCGAACCACCUAGUAGCUGGUUCCCUCCGAAGUUUCUCACAGGAUAGCUAGGGCUUAAUCAGUUGCGUCGAGUAAAGAUACUGGUUGAGGUGGGGGGGGAUGCGAAGGUCCUCCCCCCUUCUCACAAACUCAGAAUCGAUGCUACCCCUCCCCCUUGCUUGAUUGAAGGGGGGGUCGGAAUGAGAGCCCUAAGUGGGCCGGUUUUGGUAAGCAGAAUUGGCGAUGCGGGAUGAACCGAGUGUCGAGUUAAAGUGUCGAACUGUAUGCUAACCUAGAUCCCAGAAAGGGUGUCAUCUGAUAUAGACAGCAGGGCGGUGGCCAUAGAAGUGGGAAUCCGCUAAGGAGUGUGUUAUAACUCACCUGCCGAACCAGGUGGCCCCGAAAAUGGAUGACGCUCAAGCAUAUGACUUACACUCGACCGUGCGCACGAGCGGCGUGUGCAUGGGUAGGAGGGCGUAGAGGCAGCGCCGAAGCCUUGGGCGUGAGCCUGGGUGGAGUGGUCUCUAGUGCAGAUCUUGGUGGAAGUAGCAAGUAUUCAAACGAGAACUUUGAAGACUGACGUGGAGAAGGGUUCCGUGUAAACAGCGUUUGGUCACGGGUAAGUCGAUCCUAAGAUCUAGGGUAGAUCCUAUCCAAAGAGAAUCGAAAGGGAAGAGGGUUAAUAUUCCCUCACCUCGGCGGGGUCCGACAGCGGUGACGCGAACGAGCUCACAGACACUCACGCCAAUCCCGGGGAGGGCUCUCGACUCUCCUUAAGUCUCCAGGAACCUUGGAGUAGGGUAAACCUGAGAAAAGGUCAUCGGAGAUGUACAACCCCAUUCAGGAUGAUGGGGUCCGGCGCAUUGGUAUGAGUCCAUGAAAAUGUGAGGGAGUGAUAGGGACUACCCCCGUAGGUCGUACCCAUAACCGCAUCAGGUCUCCAAGGUGAGUAGCCUCUAGUCGAUAGAAAAAAGUGGGUAAGGGAAUUCGGCAAAAUAGAUCUGUAACUUCGGGAUGAGGAUUGGCUCUAAUGGUCAUCCCUAUCGGUGCUGCUGCGGAGGUGCGCAGCUAAGUCUCAGGAAUCAAGUGCCUUUCCAGAGAAUCAUUAUGGUGGUUAGGGAUUACCCACACGACGCGUUGGGUCUCGGGUAGCGGCUGGCAAGGCAGACACGGCCCUGCUGGCGCCCCUCCCCUCGUGGGGUGGGAGUUAUAGUGUGCUAGAGGCUGAGCAACUCUCACCCUCCGGGGCCUGGGCUAUGCUCGUGCUUAUCCGUCUUAAUCCGGGAUCACCUCUGGGGUUCGAUAAGGGGCAUGAGAGGAACGUAACUGGCAUCGGUAGGUGGCGGGCUGAAUUAGAACUGGUGCGGACAAAGGGAAUCCGACUGUCUAAUAAAAACACAGCAUCGUGAUGGUCCUUGCGGAUGUUGACACGAUGUGAAUCCUGCCCAGUGCUCUGAUUGUCAACUUGAAGAGAUUCAAUAAAGCACGGGUAAACGGCGGGAGUAACUAUGACUCUCUU